UACGUAGGGUGCGAGCGUUGUCCGGAAUUAUUGGGCGUAAAGAGCUCGUAGGCGGUGUGUCGCGUCGGCCGUGAAAACCUGGGGCUCAACUCUGGGCGUGCGGUCGAUACGGGCAUCACUUGAGUUCGGCAGGGGAGACUGGAAUUCCUGGUGUAGCGGUGAAAUGCGCAGAUAUCAGGAGGAACACCGGUGGCGAAGGCGGGUCUCUGGGCCGAUACUGACGCUGAGGUGCGAAAGCGUGGGGAGCGAACAGG
rnacentral:rRNA from 1 species